rnacentral:rRNA from 1 species
UGGGGAAUUUUGGACAAUGGGCGCAAGCCUGAUCCAGCCAUGCCGCGUGCGGGAAGAAGGCCUUCGGGUUGUAAACCGCUUUUGUCAGGGAAGAAACGCUCUGGGCUAAUACCCUGGGGUAAUGACGGUACCUGAAGAAUAAGCACCGGCUAACUACGUGCCAGCAGCCGCGGUAAUACGUAGGGUGCAGGCGUUAAUCGGAAUUACUGGGCGUAAAGCGUGCGCAGGCGGCUCCUUAAGUCAGAUGUGAAAUCCCCGGGCUUAACCUGGGAACUGCGUUUGAAACUGAGGGGCUAGAGUGUGGAAGAGGGGGGUGGAAUUCCAGGUGUAGCAGUGAAAUGCGUAGAGAUCUGGAGGAACACCGAUGGCGAAGGCAGCCCCCUGGGCUAACACUGACGCUCAUGCACGAAAGCGUGGGGAGCAAACAGGAUUAGAUACCCCCGUAGUCCCUGAGCGGGCUGGCAAGGCGCAU